rnacentral:rRNA from 1 species
CCUACGGGUGGCAGCAGUGAGGAAUAUUGGUCAAUGGACGCAAGUCUGAACCAGCCAUGCCGCGUGCAGGAAGACGGCUCGAUGAGUUGUAAACUGCUUGUGUACGAGGGUAAACGCAGAUACGCGGAUCUGUCUGAAAGUACCGUACGAAUAAGGAUAGGCUAACUCCGUGCCAGCAGCCGCGGUAAUACGGAGGAUUCAAGCGUUAUCCGGAUUUAUUGGGUUUAAAGGGUGCGUAGGCGGCCGGCUAAGUUAGAGGUGAAAUCCCGGGGCUCAACUUCGGAAUUGCCUCUGAUACUUUUCGGCUAGAGCGUAGUUGCGGUAGGCGUAAUGUAUGGUGUAGCGGUGACAUGCUUAGAUAUCCUCCAGAACACCGAUUGCGACGGCAGCUUACCACGCUACUUCUGACGUUGAGGCACGAAAGCGUGGGGAGCACACAGGAUUAGAUACCCGUGUAGUC